rnacentral:misc_RNA from 1 species
AAGACUAUAGACCUGCGGAGUACCUGCGGAAGGAUCAUUACCGAGUUAGGGUUUCCUCCAAGGAGCCCGACCUCCCAACCCUUUGCUUAACCUUACCUUGUGUUGCUUCGGCGGGCCCGUCUCUACGACCGCCGGGGGACCGUUAAACGUCCUCUGGCCCGUUGCCCGCCGGUGGCCAAUACCUAUAAACUCUGAACUAAGCGUGUCUUUGUCUGAGUAACAUGACCUAAAAUCAUAAAC